rnacentral:rRNA from 1 species
CCUACGGGUGGCAGCAGUGAGGAAUAUUGGUCAAUGGACGAGAGUCUGAACCAGCCAAGUAGCGUGAAGGAUGACUGCCCUAUGGGUUGUAAACUUCUUUUAUAUGGGAAUAAAAUGUUCCACGUGUGGGAUUUUGUAUGUACCAUAUGAAUAAGGAUCGGCUAACUCCGGGCCAGCAGCCGCGGUAAUACGGAGGAUCCGAACGUUAUCCGGAUUUAUUGGGUUUAAAGGGAGCGUAGGUGGAUUGUUAAGUCAGUUGUGAAAGUUUGCGGCUCAACCGUAAAAUUGCAGUUGAAACUGGCAGUCUUGAGUACAGUAGAGGUGGGCGGAAUUCGUGGUGUAGCGGUGAAAUGCUUAGAUAUCACGAAGAACUCCGAUUGCGAAGGCAGUUCACUGGACUGCAACUGACACUGAGGCUCGAAAGUGUGGGUAUCAAACAGGAUUAGAUACCCCUGUAGUC